UUCUGACUAACUGAUAAACCCAGAUAAUCUUCAUCGUGUCUUUUUAUAUCAGAUAUUUAGUGCUAUACAACUAGAUUUUUCGUUAGUUCAAGUGAAUCAGAAAUACUCUUGAAAAACAAUGAAAAUAAUAUCGAAUAUUUUUCUAACAUGUUUGUUGUAUAUCAAUAUUCAAGAUGUAUCAGCCAUUCACUGCUACAGUUGCAACGCCAAAAGGAAUGUAAGAGAUGAUUGUGAAAUAAAUUUGAAAAGAGUUCCUUUCAUCAAGUGUUCUAAUUAUUCAAUUCAUUUCAACCAGUGCAUGACCUAUUCAACCAAUCGUACAAUAGCAAGAGGUUGUGCUGACCCAAAUUUCUGUUCAUCUGUUAUGAAAACAGGAUUCUCCUCCUGUUCAACCUGCAACAAGAAUUAUUGUAAUCACCAGGAAGUUUCUUCAAGAAUAUCCACUGGUCUUGUAAUUAGUAUCUGUCUUAUUCUAACUUUGAUAUCUCUUUAGAAAACCUGUAUCUUUUCGAAAAUUAUUCGAAUAAAAUUUUCAGAGAUGUGGUAUGAAC